AAUAAGACAAGAAGCGUCCUGUGCACAUAGUAGGUGAGACCACGGUCCCUCCAUCUAUGAACGGAAACAGUCACACCAAAUGUCCCGGGCAGAUUUGACGAAGUGAAGCCACCUCAAAGACAUGAGUGCUGAGACUAGCAUUAAUCUCUCUGAUGCUAGAGAUAGAGAGUGUCGGAUUUGUCACAUGGGUUUGGAGAGUGAUAGCCAUGUAAAUGGGGCUCCAAUUGAAUUGGGUUGUUCUUGCAAGGAUGAUCUUGCUGUGGCUCAUAAAGAGCAUACAGGAUUGCUUCCUCUCUAUCUUCCUCCUGCCAGAUAAUCUCAUGAAGUGCAGCUAUUUGAAUUUUCC